GCUUCGGUGACUUAAAGACAACUCUUACAAUUUUGUCAUCUGUAAUUGGGGCAUUGAGGAUUGAAAUGACAUCCGAAUCAAGCUUUUUAGUUUGAUCCGCAUGAAUGUUAUUAGGUUGCACUACUUGAUUGAGUAAGGAAUAAAAAAAUCGCUCAGUGUAUGCUUUAACCUCAUCUAAAUUCUCAAUAAGAUUACCAUAUUUGU
rnacentral:lncRNA from 1 species